GACUACAUGGCUUCUUAUACUUGUGGAAGUAUUCAUAAAUUCUAUUCCACAAUUGUGUGGCUCUUUGGUCAUUUCCUUGAAUUACAUCUAAGCUAAUAUUGAGCCAAGUUGAUACAAGUUGAUUUGGAUCCUAUAUGUGCUUGGGUUUGAGUAUCUUGGGCAUAUACGUUGUGAUUUGUAGAGGUCCCCAUAGUUUCAUUGUUAAUUCCAUGUUCACCCUCUUGCAAGAGAGUAGUGGUAGAGAAGGGAUCUUCACCCGUCUGGGAAUCCAUCCUUAAAUAAAUAAAAAUAGAAGUUAUAAUCGAAAAGA